rnacentral:rRNA from 1 species
GACGAACGCUGGCGGCGUGCUUAACACAUGCAAGUCGAACGGAAAGGCCCUGCUUUUGUGGGGUGCUCGUGUGGCGAACGGGUGAGUAACACGUGAGUAACCUGCCCUUGACUUUGGGAUAACUUCAGGAAACUGGGGCUAAUACCGGAUAGGAGCUCCUGCUGCAUGGUGGGGGUUGGAAAGUUUCGGCGGUUGGGGAUGGACUCGCGGCUUAUCAGCUUGUUGGUGGGGUAGUGGCUUACCAAGGCUUUGACGGGUAGCCGGCCUGGGAGGGUGACCGGCCACAUUGGGACUGAGAUACGGCCCAGACUCCUACGGGAGGCAGCAGUGGGGAAUAUUGCACAAUGGGCGGAAGCCUGAUGCAGCAACGCCGCGUGCGGGAUGACGGCCUUCGGGUUGUAAACCGCUUUCGCCUGUGACGAAGCGUGAGUGACGGUAAUGGGUAAAGAAGCACCGGCUAACUACGUG